ACGAACGCUGGCGGGCGUGCCUAAUACAUGCAAGUCGAUGCGGACUGGAGGGAGCUUGCCUCCAAAGGUCAGCGGCGGACGGGUGAGUAUACACGUGGGUAACCUGCCUGACAGACUGGGAUAACGCUUGGAAACGAGUGCUAAUACCGGAUAUGCUCUUUGACCGCAUGGUUGAAGAGGGAAAGAGGCUAUCGCCUCACUGUUAGAUGGACCCGCGGCGCAUUAGCUAGUUGGUGAGGUAACGGCUCACCAAGGCGAGCGAUGCGUAGCCGACCUGAGAGGGUGACCGGCCACACUGGGACUGAGUACACGGCCCAGACUCCUACGGGAGGCAGCGGUAGGGAAUCUUCCACAAUGGGCGCAAGCCUGAUGGAGCAACGCCGCGUGAGUGAUGAAGGCCUUCGGGUUGUAAAACUCUGUCUUCUGUGACGAACAAGUGCGUGAGUGGAAAACUCGCACCCUGACGGUAACAGAAGGAGAAGCCACGGCUAACUACGUGCCAGCAGCCGCGGUAAUACGUAGGUGGCAAGCGUUGUCCGGAAUCGCUGGGCGUAAAGCGCGCGCAGGCGGCGAUCUACGUCUGGGGUGAAAGCCCGGAGCUCAACUCCGGGACUGCCUUGGAUACGGGAUCGCUUGAGGAUUGGAGAGGCAAGGGGAAUAUCCACGUGUAGUAUCGGUGAAUAAUGCGUAGAUAUGUGGAGGAACACCUGUGGCGAAGGCGCCUUGCUGGCCAAUUUUCUGACGCUGAGGCGCGAAAAGCGUGGGGAGCAAACAGGAUUAGAUACCCUGGUAGUCCACGCCGUAAACGAUGAGUGCUAGGUGUUGGGUUUCUGGUAUACCACCCCUCAGUGCCGAAGCUAACGCAUUAAGCACUCCGCCUGGGGAGUACUGGUCGCAAGACUGAAACUCAAAGGAAUUGACGGGGGCCCGCACAAGCAGUGGAGCAUGUGGUUUAAUUCGAAGCAACAGCGAAGAACCUUACCAAGACUUGACAUCCCGCUGACCGCUCUAGAGAUAGAGUUUCCCUUCGGGGCAGCGGUGACAGGUGGUGCAUGGUUGUUCGUCAGCUCGUGUCGUGAGAUGUUGGGUUAAGUCCCGCAACGAGCGCAACCCCUAUGUUGUGUUGCCAUCAUUUAGUGUGAGCACUUACAACAGACUGCCGGUGACAAAUACCGGAGGAAGGCGGGGAUGACGUCAAAUCAUCAUGCCCCUUAUGUCUUGGGCUACUACACACGUGUCUACAAUGGGCGGUACAAAGAGACGCGAGACCGCGAGGUGGAGCCAAUCUCAUAAAGCCGUUCGUAGUUCGGAUUGCAGGCUGCAACUCGCCUGCAUGAAGCCGGGAAUUGCUAGUAAUCGCGGCUAUCAGCAUGUCGCGGUGAAUACGUUACCCGGGUCUUGUACACACCCGCCCGUCACACCAUGGGAGCGGGUUCUGCCAGAAGUAGAUUAGCCUAACCGCAAGGAGGGGCGAUUACCACGGCAGGGUUCGUGACUGGGGUG
rnacentral:rRNA from 1 species